GUAUGCCCUUUCCCAAAUGAUUCAGCUCUGAACUAUUUAGAAGAAUUGAAGGAUGAAAACCCUGUCAUUAAACCCAACUCUUUGUUCUGAAUCCAGGUUGUGGGGCUCCAAUCUCUCAGAGAUAAGUUGUGCUGCUCUGGUCACAGCUUUGAAAUCCAACCAGUCUAAUCUGACAGAACUGGACCUUAGCCGGAACAACCUUUGUGAUCCAGGGUUUCAUCAUCUGUGUGGUUUUCUUGAGAGUCCCAACUGCACACUGCAGACUCUGAGGCUAACGCACUGUGGUUUGUCAGAGAUCAGCUGUGCUUUUCUGGUCUCAGCUCUGAUGUCCAACCCAUCCCACUUGACAGAACUGGAGCUGAGCUACAACAAUCUGCAGGAUUCAGAUGUUCAGCAGCUCCAGGAUCUGGUUGAGAGUCCAAACUUCAAACUGCAGACUUUGAGCUGGAAGAAGUGGUGAAACUGGUCUUCCUCCUGGUGGCCCAGAGAGAAGAAACGACUGCUCUGCAGAGAUGUUGUGACAGGACGAUUUUACUGGAGGAAUCAAAGGACGUUGGGAUGAAUGUCAGAGCUGCAGCGUGAACUGAUCUGAGAUCAGAUACACUGUCCCUCUCAGCAUCAAGUGGACAGUUAUUGUGCUGCAGUUCCCCCAGUGGACUGAAGGAAAACUCCACUACCUUUUCUCAUUCUCACUUGGAAAGUUUUCUGCUUCUCUUCUCUCUAGUAUUGGGAGCUUGUCUUAAGUUUGUCCUUACGCCCUUAUAGUAGUUGCUGAUAUCAUCCUCCCUGUCAACUGACGUAAGUGUUUCUCUGUACAUUGUCAUGGGGGAGCAGCUGUGGAUCAUUUGUGGAUAUCAGCUGUGAGCAUUACUACACUAAACUCAAACAAACUACCAAAUAUUGAUUAGUCAUUGAUCAGAUUUCUCCUCAUCUAUCCUGAAACUUUUCCGGUUGGUGAUUCUCUGAUCAAAUUCAGACAUGAUGGUUUCUUGCAGAAGUUCAGGAGUCCUUUCUCCUGUUUCUUGGACUCCUGUAUCUCUUUGUACUACAGAGUGCACCAGCAUUCUCUGAACAUCAUUCUGCUGAUCUAGAAAGCAACAGCAUGGCUGCUGACCAAAGAAAGACCACCUAAUAGCAGUUCUGGACUCAUGAUUCUCAGUCUGUGUUUAAUGUAGUUCAACUUUUAUUUGUUCUUCUUCAAUCCUUUAACUUUAUCAUACAUUUCAGAACCACACAAAGUAGACAGAGGUGCUCUGAUCAAAGCCUGCUGGUGUUCCAGAACUAGCAGGUAAUUUUCUUCUGAAGCCACAAUGUCUGGAAUAAACUGCUUUUUUGGAGCAAACCAUCAUUUUGUGUGAUGUUUUUCUCACUCUUUGUCUGUUGCUGAGGAUAACUUAUUUUUUUAAAUUAUUGUUCUGCUUAUUAUUUUGUAAAAAAAACAUAAAAAAAUGUCAUCUUUAAAUUCACUAAUUUCAUUUUAAUUUAUCUUCAUUUCAGACAGGGGUUUGUCAGAUUAGGAAGUAUGAACAUAAUUAUUACUUAAACCAAUAUUGUAAUCUUUAACCAUUAUUAUAAUCUUAAUCAGACGUAUUUCUGGUGUAGAUAUACACAGGGCGCUAAAUUAACACCCGCCAAAUGCGGGUAAAACUUUAAUUUGGAGAGUGGUGGAAAAGUUUCACCAGCCACUUUGGCAGGUUACAAAAUCCCCAACCAGAUUGUUUUAAGAAUCUGUCAAAACUUCCAUCCCAGAGUUGCUUCAAACAUUUAAUCUUGACUUUAUUGUGAGGAUUUAUCUCUCACAUUCGCUCCAGCAGUAGGUGCAUUCAGCGGCUGAAUGGAAUUUCCACACUCAUGCGAUUUCUUGAAUGGUGCAUUCACACCAAACCCAAUUUGCACAGCGAAGAGGGCCAGUUUCAAGGUUAAGUAAAUGGUACAGACGCAACAUGAGGCAAUCUGAAACACUGCAAAGUGAUUUGAGGGAUGGGCGUGGCGCAAAGGUCUUGUAACAGCUUGAUUUGAGCGACACGGCGCGAAUCGGGCAGCGCAGGCAAUAUUUAAAUAUCUAAAAUUUGACAGGUCGCUGUGUCGCAUAAUAUCAGUAGCUCAGCUCUGAGCACGUGACUUUUUCAUUGACUUUCACUCCCAUGGUGGAGCUCACUCACUUUGUAUGCCGGCAGACAAAGAGCCGCUAUGUGUGCAUAGGCUGUCAGAUUGGGCUUCAUCAAAACAUAAAAAAAAAAGAAUGGAAAAAGAUCCCCCUAUUUUUUUAUUUUUCCCCCACGGGUUAGUAAGAAACUGUGAGCCUUAAAACUCAACCACAGAGAUACAGAAACACAGCGAAGCGGAUUUCAUACAGUGGUCUGUGGCACCGGAACUUUACUCCACCAAAGCUUGUAAUGCCAAAUUCUUGAGGGACAAAAU